GCAGGCCUCUCGGGAAACGCUGCUUUCUGCAGUAAGGUUCCUGAAGAGAAGGGAUCUUCAGCACCUGGUGAACACAGAUCAGAUGUGGAGCUUUGCCGAGCGCUUGGUAAGGACAGCCCAGAAGCCCCAGCCCCAGCCUGGAGAAGCCGCCUGCCCACGGUGCCCAGUCUGUGGGGCUGGCAGCUGCAGCCCCUGCCCAGUGCUGCACGCAGGGGCACUGGCCGGCGCCCCACACGCCGCUGCCUUCCCGGGGCCACCCGGGCUCUGCUCCAGGCUCCUCUGGCCCCAAGCCCGGCGCUGAGGGAGCCCCGAGGCAGCCGGGCUCUGCCGCGGGGCGGCACCGCGGCUCGCCGGGCCCUCUGCUCCCUGCGGAGCCCGGCGCCUGCGGCUGCUGGCCGGGCCUCGGGGCUGUGUGGGCAGGGGGAGCGGCGCCCGGCCUAGGGAGCGCCCGGCCGAGGGGCAGGGCCCACACCAACCCUUCCCUUUGUGCCUGCUGCUCUCUCCAGCUGGCAGAGGACAGGAGCCGAGCGGCCGAGCACCUGCGCCGGGCCCUGCCCUACCUGCAGAGCCCACAGGAGCCCCUGCGAGAGGCGGCCGUCAGGUUCAUGGGUGAGCCAGCAGCCCGGCUCCUUCCCCGCCCCGCCGCAGCUCGGCCCCAGCCCCGCCUGCUGCCCCGGCAGCAGCAUCCCAGCGCGGCCAUCUGGAGCCCCGCCUGGCCUCGGCGCUGCCACCGCCCUCUGGCAGCCGUGCCCUUGGGCGGCAGGAUGCGGCAGGGGCCCGGGCUGAGCCCUGCCGGGCCAGGAGGCCGUGUGGCCUCAGGGCUGGCAGCGCCCGUGUGCGGCAGCUGUGGCUCUCCAGCCAGCUCACGCUCUCUGUUCCCAAGGGAUCGCCGGGCGCUGCCUGAGAGGACAGCAGCAAGAGUUCCGGAUCCUCUGCAGGGCCCUUCAGGACAUGGCGUAUGACGCCAGCCCCGCCAUCUCAUGCCUGGCCCUUCAAACUCAUUACAUCAAUUUAGCUGUGCAGGCCAU
rnacentral:lncRNA from 1 species